GACAGAGGGGGCAAGCGUUGCUCGGAAUCACUGGGCGUAAAGGGCGCGUAGGCGGGCUGGCAAGUCAGUCGUGAAAUCUCUCGGCUCAACCGAGAAACGUCGGCUGAUACUGCCGUUCUUGAGGGAUGCAGAGGAGACUGGAAUUCCCGGUGUAGCGGUGAAAUGUGUAGAGAUCCGGAGGAACACCAGAGGCGAAGGCGGCCUACUGGGCUGCACCUGACGCUGAGCCGCGAAAGCCAGGGGAGCGAACGGG
rnacentral:rRNA from 1 species